GAAUGCUGACAUAAGUAACGAUAAAGCGGGUGAAAAGCCCGCUCGCCGGAAGACCAAGGGUUCCUGUCCAACGUUAAUCGGGGCAGGGUGAGUCGACCCCUAAGGCGAGGCCGAAAGGCGUAGUCGAUGGGAAACAGGUUAAUAUUCCUGUACUUGGUGUUACUGCGAAGGGGGGACGGAGAAGGCUAUGUUGGCCGGGCGACGGUUGUCCCGGUUUAAGCGUGUAGGCUGGUUUUCCAGGCAAAUCCGGAAAAUCAAGGCUGAGGCGUGAUGACGAGGCACUACGGUGCUGAAGCGACAAAUGCCCUGCUUCCAGGAAAAGCCUCUAAGCAUCAGGUAACAUCAAAUCGUACCCCAAACCGACACAGGUGGUCAGGUAGAGAAUACCAAGGCGCUUGAGAGAACUCGGGUGAAGGAACUAGGCAAAAUGGUGCCGUAACUUCGGGAGAAGGCACGCUGAUAUGUAGGUGAAGCGACUUGCUCGUGGAGCUGAAAUCAGUCGAAGAUACCAGCUGGCUGCAACUGUUUAUUAAAAACACAGCACUGUGCAAACACGAAAGUGGACGUAUACGGUGUGACGCCUGCCCGGUGCCGGAAGGUUAAUUGAUGGGGUUAGCGGUAACGCGAAGCUCUUGAUCGAAGCCCCGGUAAACGGCGGCCGUAACUAUAACGGUCCUAAGGUAGCGAAAUUCCUUGUCGGGUAAGUUCCGACCUGCACGAAUGGCGUAAUGAUGGCCAGGCUGUCUCCACCCGAGACUCAGUGAAAUUGAACUCGCUGUGAAGAUGCAGUGUACCCGCGGCAAGACGGAAAGACCCCGUGAACCUUUACUAUAGCUUGACACUGAACAUUGAGCCUUGAUGUGUAGGAUAGGUGGGAGGCUUUGAAGUGUGGACGCCAGUCUGCAUGGAGCCGACCUUGAAAUACCACCCUUUAAUGUUUGAUGUUCUAACGUGGGCCCCUUACCGGGGUUGCGGACAGUGUCUGGUGGGUAGUUUGACUGGGGCGGUCUCCUCCUAAAGAGUAACGGAGGAGCACGAAGGUUGGCUAAUCCUGGUCGGACAUCAGGAGGUUAGUGCAAUGGCAUAAGCCAGCUUGACUGCGAGCGUGACGGCGCGAGCAGGUGCGAAAGCAGGUCAUAGUGAUCCGGUGGUUCUGAAUGGAAGGGCCAUCGCUCAACGGAUAAAAGGUACUCCGGGGAUAACAGGCUGAUACCGCCCAAGAGUUCAUAUCGACGGCGGUGUUUGGCACCUCGAUGUCGGCUCAUCACAUCCUGGGGCUGAAGUAGGUCCCAAGGGUAUGGCUGUUCGCCAUUUAAAGUGGUACGCGAGCUGGGUUUAGAACGUCGUGAGACAGUUCGGUCCCUAUCUGCCGUGGGCGCUGGAGAACUGAGGGGGGCUGCUCCUAGUACGAGAGGACCGGAGUGGACGCAUCACUGGUGUUCGGGUUGUCAUGCCAAUGGCACUGCCCGGUAGCUAAAUGCGGAAGAGAUAAGUGCUGAAAGCAUCUAAGCACGAAACUUGCCCCGAGAUGAGUUCUCCCUGACUCCUUGAGAGUCCUGAAGGAACGUUGAAGACGACGACGUUGAUAGGCCGGGUGUGUAAGCGCAGCGAUGCGUUGAGC
rnacentral:rRNA from 1 species